rnacentral:rRNA from 1 species
AUGGCACAAGGCGAAUGCCACUGCUCGUGGUCGUCGUUCAUGAAGCUUGUCGGAUUCUUUGUGCUGUUUUUCGGUUGCACGGCAGCGGUACUAUUUCUUAUUCUGUGGCCAAUGGUGUCGUCACGAGGCCCCGAGUACACCGUGGCCAUCACCAGCGUCGACGGCCUGGACCCGGCCCGGGAUCUCCAUGGCGACCGGCUGGCGCUCAGCCCGGUGUUCGGCAUCACCGUGCACGUCGACAACACCCGCGAGAAGGUCCUCCGGGCGUGCGUCGGCGUGGACUCCUUCGCGGUCGUGUCGUACGGGGACGUGCUGCUCGGCAGGGGCAGCGUGCCGUCGUUCUGCGCCGAGAAAUUAGGGGUGUGCGAGGUCGCCGCCACGGCGUGGGGCAUGGACGUGCACCUGCCUCACUUCCUGCGGGACCGGCUGGCCGGCGAGCUGGAGAGGGGCCAGGUGGUGGUGGACGUGACGGUGAGGAGCCCCGGGGGCGACGGGUGUUACAUCAACGGAUGCCUGGACAAGGUGAUUAUCUGCAAGGCCAAGAUCGGAGGGGGUCCAUCCCGGUGUUUUGUUACGGAGACUGCCAGCGGCACUACUACGAAGGGAUAG